rnacentral:misc_RNA from 1 species
UCUCCCGCACGCCUYUUCAUUYGUGGGAAUGAGCUACGCUCGUCCACGGUCGGCUUUCCUGUGUUGCAUACCUAUUUCGAGGGCAUUCGGUUGGCUAAAACGGUCCCAUCUCCGCCUUGUGCUAGCGCUCCUUGCGGGCGUCYGGCGCGGGGCGGAUCUCAAAGCGUCCGUCGUGUUUCGCGCCGCAUUCACCCGUAUAGGUGUUUGGGUAGGCGACCCACGAUGUGCCGUUCGUUGUCUCGGGUACGGAACAUCGGGUGGGUACGAGGCAUUCGCCUCCGAUCACCACACAAAUGCGUU